rnacentral:rRNA from 1 species
ACGGAGGGAGCAAGCGUUGUUCGGAUUUACUGGGCGUAAAGGGCGUCUAGGCGGACUGGUAAGUCAGAUGUGAAAUCCCCCGGCUCAACCGGGGACCUGCAUUUGAUACUGCUAGUCUUGAGUACGGAAGAGGAAAGCGGAAUUCCUGGUGUAGCGGUGAAAUGCGUAGAUAUCAGGAAGAACACCGGUGGCGAAGGCGGCUUUCUGGUCCGAUACUGACGCUAAAGCGCGAAAGUGUGGGGAGCAAACAG